UUUUAUGAGAGUUUGAUCCUGGCUCAGGACGAACGCUGGCGGCGUGCCUAAUACAUGCAAGUCGAACGCUUCUUUUUCCACCGGAGCUUGCUCCACCGGAAAAAGAGGAGUGGCGAACGGGUGAGUAACACGUGGGUAACCUGCCCAUCAGAAGGGGAUAACACUUGGAAACAGGUGCUAAUACCGUAUAACAAUUGAAACCGCAUGGUUUUGAUUUGAAAGGCGCUUUCGGGUGUCGCUGAUGGAUGGACCCGCGGUGCAUUAGCUAGUUGGUGAGGUAACGGCUCACCAAGGCGACGAUGCAUAGCCGACCUGAGAGGGUGAUCGGCCACAUUGGGACUGAGACACGGCCCAAACUCCUACGGGAGGCAGCAGUAGGGAAUCUUCGGCAAUGGACGAAAGUCUGACCGAGCAACGCCGCGUGAGUGAAGAAGGUUUUCGGAUCGUAAAACUCUGUUGUUAGAGAAGAACAAGGAUGAGAGUAACUGUUCAUCCCUUGACGGUAUCUAACCAGAAAGCCACGGCUAACUACGUGCCAGCAGCCGCGGUAAUACGUAGGUGGCAAGCGUUGUCCGGAUUUAUUGGGCGUAAAGCGAGCGCAGGCGGUUUCUUAAGUCUGAUGUGAAAGCCCCCGGCUCAACCGGGGAGGGUCAUUGGAAACUGGGAGACUUGAGUGCAGAAGAGGAGAGUGGAAUUCCAUGUGUAGCGGUGAAAUGCGUAGAUAUAUGGAGGAACACCAGUGGCGAAGGCGGCUCUCUGGUCUGUAACUGACGCUGAGGCUCGAAAGCGUGGGGAGCAAACAGGAUUAGAUACCCUGGUAGUCCACGCCGUAAACGAUGAGUGCUAAGUGUUGGAGGGUUUCCGCCCUUCAGUGCUGCAGCUAACGCAUUAAGCACUCCGCCUGGGGAGUACGACCGCAAGGUUGAAACUCAAAGGAAUUGACGGGGGCCCGCACAAGCGGUGGAGCAUGUGGUUUAAUUCGAAGCAACGCGAAGAACCUUACCAGGUCUUGACAUCCUUUGACCACUCUAGAGAUAGAGCUUCCCCUUCGGGGGCAAAGUGACAGGUGGUGCAUGGUUGUCGUCAGCUCGUGUCGUGAGAUGUUGGGUUAAGUCCCGCAACGAGCGCAACCCUUAUUGUUAGUUGCCAUCAUUUAGUUGGGCACUCUAGCAAGACUGCCGGUGACAAACCGGAGGAAGGUGGGGAUGACGUCAAAUCAUCAUGCCCCUUAUGACCUGGGCUACACACGUGCUACAAUGGGAAGUACAACGAGUCGCGAAGUCGCGAGGCUAAGCUAAUCUCUUAAAGCUUCUCUCAGUUCGGAUUGUAGGCUGCAACUCGCCUACAUGAAGCCGGAAUCGCUAGUAAUCGCGGAUCAGCACGCCGCGGUGAAUACGUUCCCGGGCCUUGUACACACCGCCCGUCACACCACGAGAGUUUGUAACACCCGAAGUCGGUGAGGUAACCUUUUGGAGCCAGCCGCCUAAGGUGGGAUAGAUGAUUGGGGUGAAGUCGUAACAAGGUAGCCGUAUCGGAAGGUGCGGCUGGAUCACCUCCUUU
rnacentral:rRNA from 1 species